rnacentral:misc_RNA from 1 species
GAUCCGGAUCGUUUUGCGGCGCGACCAGCUGCGCCUGAAGCUGGGCCUCCGUCGGCGGCUGUGAUUGCGAUUGCAGAUCCAAUUGCGCUUCCCGCGUGACGACAGGCGAGUCGCUGGUCUCGCUGGCGGGCAGCAGGAAACCGAUCACCAGCACGAUAGCGGCAAUGAUAAUGCCACGACGAUGCAUAGGCGGCAGCGGCUCCAUGAUGCGAAAAUUAUCCGGCGCGUGCCAGAUUUUCGCCAGGGUUGGUUUUAAUUCAAAGCGCCCGGGCAUGGUUUACCUCCUGCUCCGCAUCUCGUUCCUUAAUCAUAGAGUAUAGAUGGCUAACGCUAUGAUAC